rnacentral:rRNA from 1 species
GAUGAACGCUGGCGGCGUGCCUAAUACAUGCAAGUCGAGCGAACGGACGAGAAGCUUGCUUCUCUGAUGUUAGCGGCGGACGGGUGAGUAACACGUGGAUAACCUACCUAUAAGACUGGGAUAACUUCGGGAAACCGGAGCUAAUACCGGAUAAUAUUUUGAACCGCAUGGUUCAAAAGUGAAAGACGGUCUUGCUGUCACUUAUAGAUGGAUCCGCGCUGCAUUAGCUAGUUGGUAAGGUAACGGCUUACCAAGGCAACGAUGCAUAGCCGACCUGAGAGGGUGAUCGGCCACACUGGAACUGAGACAAGGUCCAGACUCCUACGGGAGGCAGCAGUAGGGAAUCUUCCGCAAUGGGCGAAAGCCUGACGGAGCAACGCCGCGUGAGUGAUGAAGGUCUUCGGAUCGUAAAACUCUGUUAUUAGGGAAGAACAUAUGUGUAAGUAACUGUGCACAUCUUGACGGUACCUAAUCAGAAAGCCACGGCUAAAUACGUG